rnacentral:rRNA from 1 species
GUGGGGAAUUUUGCGCAAUGGGCGAAAGCCUGACGCAGCGACGCCGCGUGUGCGAUGAAGGCCUUUGGGUCGUAAAGCACUGUCAACCGGGACGAAAACUCGACGAAGAUAACACGUCGAGCUUGACGGUACCGGUGGAGGAAGCACCGGCUAACUCUGUGCCAGCAGCCGCGGUAAUACAGAGGGUGCAAACGUUGUUCGGAAUUACUGGGCGUAAAGCGCGUGUAGGCGGUUCGUUAAGUUGACUGUGAAAGCCCGUGGCUCAACCACGGAAGUGCAGUCAAAACUGGCGGACUUGAGUCCUGGAGAGGGUGGUGGAAUUCCCAGUGUAGAGGUGAAAUUCGUAGAUAUUGGGAGGAACACCGGUGGCGAAGGCGGCCACCUGGACGGGUACUGACGCUGAGACGCGAAAGCGUGGGUAGCAAACAGGAUUAGAUACCCGUGUAGUCC